rnacentral:rRNA from 1 species
GACGAACGCUGGCGGCGUGCUUAACACAUGCAAGUCGAACGGAAAGGCCCUGCUUUUGUGGGGUGCUCGAGUGGCGAACGGGUGAGUAACACGUGAGUAACCUGCCCUUGACUUUGGGAUAACUUCAGGAAACUGGGGCUAAUACCGGAUAGGAGCUCCUGCUGCAUGGUGGGGGUUGGAAAGUUUCGGCGGUUGGGGAUGGACUCGCGGCUUAUCAGCUUGUUGGUGGGGUAGUGGCUUACCAAGGCUUUGACGGGUAGCCGGCCUGAGAGGGUGACCGGCCACAUUGGGACUGAGAUACGGACCAGACUCCUACGGGAGGCAGCAGUGGGGAAUAUUGGACAAUGGGCGGAAGCCUGAUGCAGCAACGCCGCGUGCGGGAUGACGGCCUUCGGGUUGUAAACCGCUUUCGCCUGUGACGAAGCGUGAGUGACGGUAAUGGGUAAAGAAGCACCGGCUAACUACGUG